rnacentral:rRNA from 1 species
UGCAAGUCGAGCGGAACGAUCCUAGCUUGCUAGGAGGCGUCGAGCGGCGGACGGGUGAGUAAUGCAUAGGAAUCUGCCCGGUAGUGGGGGAUAACUUGAGGAAACUCAAGCUAAUACCGCAUACGCCCUACGGGGGAAAGCAGGGGCUCUUCGGACCUUGCGCUAUCGGAUGAGCUUAUGUCGGAUUAGCUGGUUGGUGAGGUAACGGCUCACCAAGGCGACGAUCCGUAGCUGGUCUGAGAGGAUGAUCAGCCACAUCGGGACUGAGACACGGCCCGAACUCCUACGGGAGGCAGCAGUGGGGAAUAUUGGACAAUGGGGGCAACCCUGAUCCAGCCAUGCCGCGUGUGUGAAGAAGGCCCUCGGGUUGUAAAGCACUUUCAGCGAGGAAGAAUGCUUGUCGGUUAAUACCCGGCAAGGGAGACAUCACUCGCAGAAGAAGCACCGGCUAACUCCGUGCCAGCAGCCGCGGUAAUACGGAGGGUGCGAGCGUUAAUCGGAAUUACUGGGCGUAAAGCGUGCGUAGGCGGCUUGAUAAGCCGGUUGUGAAAGCCCCGGGCUCAACCUGGGAACGGCAUCCGGAACUGUUAGGCUAGAGUGCAGGAGAGGAAGGUAGAAUUCCCGGUGUAGCGGUGAAAUGCGUAGAGAUCGGGAGGAAUACCAGUGGCGAAGGCGGCCUUCUGGACUGACACUGACGCUGAGGUACGAAAGCGUGGGUAGCAAACAGGAUUAGAUACCCUGGUAGUCCACGCCGUAAACGAUGUCGACUAGCCGUUGGGGUCCUCGAGACCUUUGUGGCGCAGUUAACGCACUAAGUCGACCGCCUGGGGAGUACGGCCGCAAGGUUAAAACUCAAAUGAAUUGACGGGGGCCCGCACAAGCGGUGGAGCAUGUGGUUUUAUUUCGAUGCAACGCGAGAUCUUUACCUACU